rnacentral:rRNA from 1 species
UACAUGGGGUGCAAACGUUGCUCGGAAUUAUUGGGCGUAAAGCGCACGUAGGCGGUUCGUUAAGUCGGAUGUGAAAGCCCUCGGCUCAACUGAGGAAGUGCACCCGAAACUGGCGAGCUUGAGUACGAAAGAGGAUCGCGGAAUUCCCGGUGUAGAGGUGAAAUUCGUAGAUAUCGGGAGGAACACCAGUGGCGAAGGCGGCUCACUGGUCCGGUACUGACGCUGAGGUGCGAAAGCGUGGGGAGCAACAGG